GUAGGUGAACCUGCGGAAGGAUCAUUGUCGAUACCUGCCCGACAGAGAGACCAGCGAACGUGUUGCAUAAUCAUCAAAGGGAAAGGGUUUGGUGGGGGUGCGAGCCCCUUCCUCCCAGACCCUCUGUAAGGUUGGUCCGCGGACAUCCGUGGCAUCCGACCUAAUAAACAAAACCACCGGCGCAGUUGGCGCCAAGGAAGCUCACAACGGAAUGGGCGUGUGUCACCCAUCGCUGUGCCCCCGGCACGGUGUGUGUGUGUGUGCCCGUCUUAGAUCCGAAACUCAUUAACGACUCUCGGCAACGGAUAUCUCGGCUCUCGCAUCGAUGAAGAACGUAGCGAAAUGCGAUACUUGGUGUGAAUUGCAGAAUCCCGUGAACCAUCGAGUCUUUGAACGCAAGUUGCGCCCCAGGCCAACAGGUUGAGGGCACGCCUGCCUGGGCGUCACGUAUCGUGUCGCCCCCCUCUGUUGCCCUAGUGGCGAUGGAGUGCGGAUCGGAUAUUGGCCCCCCGUGUCAUUAUUUUGAGGUGCGGUCGGCCUAAAGACAAGUCCCCCUUUGUGGCAAUCGUCACGACGAGUGGUGGUUGUAGCUGCUCUGCCAUAAUUACUUACGGAUGUCGUGUGCAAUUGUCACUCCUAUUGGGGUUCUAUUGUUAACCCUGAUCAUGUUUCGUCUCUCGACGGCAUUUUCGACCGCGACCCCAGGUCAGGCGGGGCUACCCGCUGAG
rnacentral:rRNA from 1 species